ACAUUUCAUUAAACACAUUUGCAAAUGUGAAAGCAAAUUACCAUUUCAUUAAACACAUUUGCAAAUGUGAAAGCAAAUGAACAAAACACAAAAGCAAACUGCGAGACACAUUUACAUUUCACGAAACACAAAGCAAAUUAACAAAACACAAAACACAAAAGCAAACUGCGAGACACAUUUACAUUUCACGAAACACAAACGCAAACUCCAAAAACACAUUACAUUAACGAAAUUUCUUACGGAAGUAAGAAAUUUCUUACGGAAGUGAGAAAUUUCUUACGGAAGUGGUGUAGGUGCCCAACGCGUUCCUCCUGCCUGAUCCGUUCCCUAAUGGGGCGUCAGGAAAGCGGACGUGACGAAACAGGAAAUAGUGAGGAAUAAUUACAUACUUUCAGCGAGUGGAUGAGACGGUCGAUGCGGCGAGUGAAGAGCAUUCAUUUUUUAGCAUUUAUUUGAUCGUUCUGAGAAAAAUUGUCCGGUAACAUACACACACACAUGUAUUGCCCGUCUUGUGGCGUUUGUUUAUUCGCCUUAUUCACCCGGAACGUUCUAAAGACGUUGAGGGGUACACUUCAGGGGUACAUUCGGCAACGCACCAGCUGUCAUAGCGCCUCACUGUUGUGUGCCCAAAUGUUCGUCCUCAAAGAGAAAAAAUCCUACCGUGGACAGACUUUCCACCGUUUCCACAAAGAGCAGGCACUUCGCCGUGAAUGUAUAAAUCAAAUCAAGAGGGAUCUUGGUCCAUAUUUCAAGAUCAACGCUGAGACCAAAGUUUGCUCUGAGCACUUUGAGAAGCAGUGUUUUGUAAAGACCGCCUGUGGUAUCACAAAGCUUAUAAAGGAUGCUGUGCCUUCUGAGCUCUAGGAAGAGCAUUACUCAGGUGAGCUUCAAUCGAGCUAUGUGUAAAAUGUAACACCACAAAAAAAGCGUUUUUGUUUAUUACGGCAUCUGUGAGGCACGGGUGUGCAUGUGAAUGUCAACUGCUUCCUACAUGUUUAGAUCUGAUACACUUCCCCUGUCUAUAGGCCUAAUAUCAGCACCACGCGUUUAACAUGGCGUUAAGUUAUGGUGAUUAAACAUGUUGCAUGUCAAAUAGUAUAACCAGACAGGGCAAAGUGUUGAUGGUCCUAUCGCAGUUGCUCAGAUCAAAGAGCAUUGACAGAGGUUGUCGAGGAAAACGCUGUUCCCUAAACGCACAACAUUGGCUACGGUAAACGUCGAGGGGGGGGGGGUGGAGAAUCAGAGAUGGCCAUGUAUGGUGAGGUGAUAAGAAAGUAAGCAUAGCAGACAAAAUAAUUCCAAAAUGGCAAAAUAUACCGGUACUCUGGGACUUGUUGCUGUAUUGGAAACAGUUUUUCAAGCGGUGUUCCUCUACCCUCUGUCAGUUUCGGUACACUGAGUGUCCAUGAUUACUGUACUGUGUUUGUAGGCUACUGAAGUCAUGGUGCCUUUGGAGUUAGUUACUCUAGUUAUUACCAGUGUUGGGAAAGUUACUCAAAAACUGUAAUGCAUUACUGAUCACAUGUUACUGUCUUUUCAAAAUAAUCCUGUACACUACAAUAUUACUAUGUUUAAAAUGCAUGGCAUUACACUACUGUUACAUAAAUUACUUUCAAAAAGGACUUAGGCCUAAAUAUGAAUCUGGCCAUGUAUUACAAACAUAUCAGUAUCAGGGUGGUACAUUUCAAAUUAAGUAAUUCAAAUAAUUUUAUACAAUAUGGUACUAGCUGAGAUAUCACCUGACCUGCCACAAAAAAAUGUCAUCGACCCAUAUGCUGUACUCAACAUUUUUCUAAUGUUUUGUAUUCUGAUCUAUUACAGCUGGAGCUUUCCCAUGGCCAAGAGAUGAACGCUAAACUUGAUAGUUUUUUUUCCUCCUCCUUCCUGCCUGCACUGUACAAAAAGUCAGUAAACAAAAACAAAUGAUUGCAUUUCACAGGUUUGUUUAUUAUAAUUUCAAAGAGAAAUGAUGUAUGAAUAAUACAAGACAUUAUUAUAUAACAACAACAUUUAGUAUAAGAACAUUUCGUAUAAUAUGAUGAUAUAUCAUGAAUAUCAUGUACAUUUGAAGCAUGAGAGAUUUGUACAAAUAAACAUCAAUUCAAUGUA